AACGAACGCUGGCGGCAUGCCCAACACAUGCAAGUCGAACGGUGCCUUCGGGCACAGUGGCGCACGGGUGAGUAACACGUGGGAACCUGCCUCUCGGUUCGGAAUAACGUUUGGAAACGAACGCUAACACCGGAUACGCCCUUCGGGGGAAAGUUUACGCCGAGAGAGGGGCCCGCGUCGGAUUAGGUAGUUGGUGAGGUAACGGCUCACCAAGCCGACGAUCCGUAGCUGGUCUGAGAGGAUGAUCAGCCACACUGGGACUGAGACACGGCCCAGACUCCUACGGGAGGCAGCAGUGGGGAAUAUUGGACAAUGGGCGCAAGCCUGAUCCAGCAAUGCCGCGUGAGUGAUGAAGGCCUUAGGGUUGUAAAGCUCUUUCGCACGCGACGAUGAUGACGGUAGCGUGAGAAGAAGCCCCGGCUAACUUCGUGCCAGCCGCCGCCGUAA
rnacentral:rRNA from 1 species